rnacentral:tRNA from 1 species
UUCCGUAGUAUAGUGGUCAGUAUGCAAGCUUGUCACGCUUGAGACCCGGGUUCAAUUCCCGGCGGGA